rnacentral:misc_RNA from 1 species
AUCGGCUUGAAGUUUGGAAGU